GCCCGGGUGGUGGAACCGGUAGACACAAGGGACUUAAACUCCCUCGGGGAAUCCCGUGCGGGUUCGACUCCCGCCCCGGGCACCA
rnacentral:tRNA from 1 species